UACGUAGGUGGCAAGCGUUGUUCGGAUUUACUGGGCGUAAAGGGUGUGUAGGCGGCUGGUUAAGUCUGAUGUGAAAUCUCCCGGCUUAACUGGGAAACUGCAUCGGAAACUGACCGGCUUGAAGGUGGGAGAGGGUAGUGGAAUUCCCGGUGUAGUGGUGAAAUGCGUAGAUAUCGGGAGGAACACCAGUGGCGAAGGCGACUACCUGGCCCAUUCUUGACGCUGAGGCGCGAAAGCUAGGGGAGCGAACGGG
rnacentral:rRNA from 1 species